ensembl:lncRNA
GGCAUGAGUUUGAGUAAGCUCCGGGAGUUGGUGAUGGACAGGGAGGCCUGACGUGCUGCAGUCCAUGAGGUUGCAAAGAGUCAGACAUGACUGAGCAACUGAACUGAACUGAACUGAUGUGCUAGUACCAUUGCUAAUCAUAAUCCAUGAUAAGUGCUCUGAAUAAAAAUUACACAGGAAUAUAAAGGCACGUAUUGGGGAGAACUGAUCUGUUUAAGGGCAUCAGAAGGCUUCUUGAGGAAGCAACAUUGGCGUUGAGAGCUGAAAGAUGAGUUGCAUUUGGCCAGGAACAUGAUGGGAAGGAGUUGGGAUCCAAGGCUUUCUGCUGAGUAAGUAGCGCUAUCUUGUGAGGAAUCUGAGGCUGGAGCAUGCAUGCUUGCUAGCUCAGUCCUGUCUGACUGUUUGUGACGCCAUGAACUGUAGCCUACCAGGCUCCUUUGUCCAUGGGAUUCUACAGGCAAGAAUAUUGGAGUGGGUAUCCUUUCCCUUCUCCAGGAGAUCUUCCCAACCCAGGAAUAGAACUCAGGUCUCCCACACUGCAGGCAGAUUCUUUACUGUCUGAUCCACCCAGGGAAGCCCUAAAGCUGCUGAAUCAGCUGGGGUUAUCUUUAUAGAAGCCAGAGAAAGGGCAGGGAAAUUGUCUCCAACGUGAUUAGUUGUUUGUGAUUUGCUUUGAUGUGGCAGCUAAAGUGUUGGUCCUGGGAUAGGUUUUAUGUUGUAGGCUAAGACAUAUAAUAGUAAACCUUGUCUUUUUAAUAUAUUCCUCAGGGACAGGCUAUAAUCCUAAAAUAUUGAUCCACUAACCAGGUUAAUCAGGGACUUUACAUAGUUGCAGGCAAAAAAUAUGUUCAGAUGUGGAUCGGUAGUACAGUUUCCAGAAGAAGGCCAUAAAUUUUUUUUUCUAGUUUUAUUGAGCUGUAUUUGAUACAUAAUAUGAUCUAACUUCCAAGGUGUAUAAUAUAAAAAUUUGAUACAUGUGUAUAUUAUGAAAGGGUCACCACAAUAACAUUUAUCACCUCAUAUAGUUAACAUAUCACCACAUAUAGUUAGAAUUUUUGUUUUUGCUUAUGAUAAGAACUUUUAAGAUCUAGUCUUUUAGCAACUUUCAAAUAUACAAUACCGUAUUGAUGACUGAAUCAGGCCACUACUUCACAUUAAACUAUAUCGCCCAGGACUCAUUCAAGCUCUCCUUGACGUUUUGGUAGCAGCUGAAUCAUAGUUUAAAAUAGUCUAAACUUAACCUCUGAGCUUUUAUGGUAGGAAGCAAUUCAGCAUUGGCAGGAAACUGAAUUGAAUGCUCUAUAGAUCAUUUCCGCAUAUGAGUUUCCGUUGUUCCAAACAAAUCCAUAUUCAUUCCAAUGAUUUCCCCUUCAUUCAUUGCAAAUUCCUGAGCAGAAAAGUUUAGACUCAAGUUUCCUCUCAUAAAUUACACAGUUUUAACUCAGUAAAUUUGCAUAAGCCUUGAAUACCAAAGUUCCUACUACUGGUUGAAAAAGACAUAGCAUUUAUGUAUCGCAUUAUCUAUUCAUAGAUUUUCAAAUUAUGAAUUAUCUGACUUUUGUAGAAUAUAACUAUGAGGAAGGUCAGCCUCAAUUCCCACAACAGAGAUAGAGCCAGAAGGGUUAUUUUACUUAAUGAGCCUGAGACCCAUGAAUUAGAGCCCAAGGAAGAACAAGGAGAGUCGAGGAACAGAACAGUAUCCCAGUGGAGCCAAAUUUAAAACAAAAUAAUCCUUUGGAGGAGUGUCUGGAGAUGAAGCCUUGUGUUAAGCACAGGAUCCAAGCCAUCCACUCAUGUUCACUUCAUACCAAGCCUGAUAUUUGAUACCAUGAAUUGAUGCUGAAUUCCUCUAAGGGACUCUGGGGAGCCUUGCCUAAAGAUGGGCCAGACUCAGG